ACCUGGGUGGCUCAGUCAGUUGAGUGUCCGACUUUGGCUCAGGUCAUGGUCUCACGAUUCGUGGGUUCGAGCCCCACUUCAGGUU
rfam:Felis catus isolate Cinnamon breed Abyssinian chromosome D3, whole genome shotgun sequence.